CCAGUGUGAGAACUUGAACUUGGGUCCUGGAGAUCAAGAGUCACAAGCUCUACUGACUGAGCCAGCUAGGCCUCUUGGUUCUAUUUCCUGUUCCCUCCUGUCUCAGGGCCGGCAUGUUCUUCUUGAAGAAGAAAAUUCACUGUGUUUUCAGAGGAGUUGGAAGGAAGAGCUCCCAAUUGUAAGUGAUGAAGUCGUGGUGGUGCAUGGUAAUGGGCCAAGUGAGGAUGCAGUGCUCCAGGCGUGUAAGUAGCUGCAGUCACUCCAGCUUCAAUUCCCAGUUCCCUGACAAAGGAUGAGAACACUACCUUUUAGCCAUCCUUACAGUGUCUUUAUUAUCAACAGAAAUGGGGGAGUAUAUUUACAU